rnacentral:lncRNA from 1 species
AGAGGCUUCACAGCAGCUUAUUUUGUUCCUAGAUCCAGAAAAAUAUGUGCAUUUGCCUACAAGGACAGUGUGCCUUUUAAGGAGCUGCUAAAAAAGUCCCUGAUCUUCCUACGCUAUUUGACAGGCUUCUUUUUGACAGCAUCACCUGGGAGAUGUUGGAACAGCUAAGUAACUGAAUGUAUCAGAAAGCAGAAAACACUUAACUUUCCUCUCAAACAUCUAUGUUUGUAAUGGGCUAUCAGCAUCAGUGCAUCCAUGAAGGCUUAAAAAGCCUAAUGCUCAUA